GUGAAGCAUCCUGUUAAGUCAGGCAACGAGCGAGACCCACGCCCCACACGUUGCCAGCGUACUCUCUGGAGUGACGGGUACACUGUGGGGACCGCCGCUGCUAAAGCGGAGGAAGGAAUGGGCAACGGUAGGUCAGUAUGCCCCGAAUAUCCCGGGCUACACGCGAGCUACAAUGGUUGGUACAAUGGGUAUCUACCCCGAAAGGGGACGGGAAUCUCCUAAAACCAAUCUUAGUUCGGAUUGAGGGCUGCAACUCGCCCUCAUGAAGCUGGAAUCCGUAGUAAUCGCGUUUCAACAGAACGCGGUGAAUACGUCCCUGCUCCUU
rnacentral:rRNA from 1 species